AAUAUUUUAAUCACUCUACUCAACAAAAACAACCAAGUACCAACCACCUCCCUCUAUCUCUCUCUCUCUCUGAUGACAAAAUUCUCUCCCACCCCACCAUGAUUUCUCUUCAAAACUGCACCUAUUUUCCUCACACUUAAGCAUGGCUAUUAUGCCAGUGUUGUUCAGAUCAUUAUUGGCGCUAUUUACAGAAGUAGUGGCUCAUCCAGCAGCCUCCAUCACAACUCUACUCUAUUACAGUAAUCUUCUCCCUCGAAACUUGAACUUAGAGCGCAUGGUUCGACCCCAACUCCUCCAUCCAGAGAACUUCAUGUUUCAUCUUCUCAUCAAUGUUCUCAGAUGUUUCUGAGUAAACCCAAUAUCAUGUUCAUGUUCAUGGAACUAAUCUGUAUGGAAGAAGACGAGCAAGAUCGAUUAACAUUUGGCAGAGUUUUAAUUGUUGAAACGGGAAGAGAACUAAUUAAUGUUUCAUCAUUUUCAGUGUAGUUUGACUGUGAGGCAUUGCAUAUUGACUGGUUGGUGUCAAAAGCUUCGGUAUCUGAACCUUGAUUCCUUGGAGUACAAGGUUUAAUUUUGACUCUGAAUCUUUCGUGUAUGUUUCUGCAUUAAUAAGGGAUCCAGCACUUUUCAAUCAAAUAGUGAUCUCUUAGAUAUAAAAAUUAAAUUAUACUUCAUUUUUUUUUUUUCCAGUAUAAUAUGAAUAUUAGACUAUGUUCUGU